rnacentral:rRNA from 1 species
GAGUUUGAUCCUGGCUCAGGACGAACGCUGGCGGCGUGCUUAACACAUGCAAGUCGAGCGAUGAAACUUCCUUCGGGAAGUGGAUUAGCGGCGGACGGGUGAGUAACACGUGGGUAACCUGCCUCAAAGUGGGGGAUAGCCUUCCGAAAGGAAGAUUAAUACCGCAUAAUAUAAGAGAAUCGCAUGAUUUUCUUAUCAAAGAUUUAUUGCUUUGAGAUGGACCCGCGGCGCAUUAGCUAGUUGGUAAGGUAACGGCUUACCAAGGCAACGAUGCGUAGCCGACCUGAGAGGGUGAUCGGCCACAUUGGAACUGAGACACGGUCCAGACUCCUACGGGAGGCAGCAGUGGGGAAUAUUGCGCAAUGGGGGAAACCCUGACGCAGCAACGCCGCGUGGGUGAUGAAGGUCUUCGGAUUGUAAAGCCCUGUUUUCUAGGACGAUAAUGACGGUACUAGAGGAGGAAGCCACGGCUAACUACGUGCCAGCAGCCGCGGUAAUACGUAGGUGGCGAGCGUUGUCCGGAUUUACUGGGCGUAAAGGGUGCGUAGGCGGAUGUUUAAGUGGGAUGUGAAAUCCCCGGGCUUAACCUGGGGGCUGCAUUCCAAACUGGAUAUCUAGAGUGCAGGAGAGGAAAGCGGAAUUCCUAGUGUAGCGGUGAAAUGCGUAGAGAUUAGGAAGAACACCAGUGGCGAAGGCGGCUUUCUGGACUGUAACUGACGCUGAGGCACGAAAGCGUGGGUAGCAAACAGGAUUAGAUACCCUGGUAGUCCACGCCGUAAACGAUGGAUACUAGGUGUAGGGGGUAUCAACUCCCCCUGUGCCGCAGUUAACACAAUAAGUAUCCCGCCUGGGGAGUACGGUCGCAAGAUUAAAACUCAAAGGAAUUGACGGGGGCCCGCACAAGCAGCGGAGCAUGUGGUUUAAUUCGAAGCAACGCGAAGAACCUUACCUGGACUUGACAUCCCUUGCAUAGCCUAGAGAUAGGUGAAGCCCUUCGGGGCAAGGAGACAGGUGGUGCAUGGUUGUCGUCAGCUCGUGUCGUGAGAUGUUAGGUUAAGUCCUGCAACGAGCGCAACCCUUGUUAUUAGUUGCUACCAUUAAGUUGAGCACUCUAAUGAGACUGCCUGGGUAACCAGGAGGAAGGUGGGGAUGACGUCAAAUCAUCAUGCCCCUUAUGUCCAGGGCUACACACGUGCUACAAUGGUAGGUACAAUAAGACGCAAGACCGUGAGGUGGAGCAAAACUUAUAAAACCUAUCUCAGUUCGGAUUGUAGGCUGCAACUCGCCUACAUGAAGCUGGAGUUGCUAGUAAUCGCGAAUCAGAAUGUCGCGGUGAAUACGUUCCCGGGCCUUGUACACACCGCCCGUCACACCAUGAGAGCUGGUAACACCCGAAGUUCGUGAGGUAACCGUAAGGAGCCAGCGGCCGAAGGUGGGAUUAGUGAUUGGGGUGAAGUCGUAACAAGGUAGCCGUAGGAGAACCUGCGGCUGGAUCACC